rnacentral:lncRNA from 1 species
ACAAAUUUCUGGCCUUUCUCCUUCCUCCCUUUAUAUACGACCAUGAUUCAUCAUCAUCAUCAUCAUCAUCAUCACGCAUGUCAGAGUGGUCACCAAGGUGAAAGGCUAAAAGCAGUAUUACAAUCAAAAGCUGAAACUGGUUUAGCCUUGGAAAAACAGAAAAGGAUAAAAAAGACUAUCGCAUAACUCACCACCAAACGAAGACUUCGCAGGUGGGAAAGGCUCCAACAAUAGAAAUUAUCUUCAAGAGGUGAAAUGUUGCACUUUGGUGGAAAACCAGUGUUAAGUAUCUUACAGCCUCAAAGGUAGCAAGUUUUCUUGGUAAGCAUGUAGCCUACACCAGAGUAAAACCUUCGUGUCAACAGAAGUUUAUAUAGAACGAACUAGAAAAGAAAUCAAAGGGUUUAUUCCCAUUGUUUGGUUGUUUUCUUACUUACCCAAUUGCUUGAGAGAGGUACCUCACCAUUGUUAGACGUGGUGAAAGGCCGCUGAAAAAAUUGAGCAGUCCUUGUGUAUCCAAAACAUCCGUAUAUCUUGACAAGUUAGGGGUUCCAUCUAUGUUUGAUUUGAUUUUUCAGUAAGUAAUACAUUCAUAGCAUUACCGACCGAAUCACAGGUCAAUUUUCUUUACCCCAGAGCAGUCAACAAGCAAGAAAGACUUAAGAAGGUGCAUCGAACCACGGGGUAACUCAACUGGGAGUCUACAUCUACUCAGGCUCAAGACUUUCAGGU